rnacentral:rRNA from 1 species
UACAGAGGGUGCAAGCGUUGUUCGGAAUUACUGGGCGUAAAGGGCUCGUAGGCGGCCAACUAAGUCGGAUGUGAAAUCCCCAGGCUUAGCCUGGGAACUGCAUCCGAUACUGGAUGGCUUGAAUUCGGGAGAGGGAUGCAGAAUUCCAGGUCUAGCGGUGAAAUGCGUAGAUAUCUGGAGGAAUACCGGUGGCGAAGGCGGCAUCCUGGACCGACAUUGACGCUGAGGCGCGAAAGCUAGGGGAGCAAACGGG